AGCGUCCCCCCUCGGCGGCUU
rnacentral:misc_RNA from 1 species